CCUACGGGUGGCAGCAGUGAGGAAUAUUGGUCAAUGGACGAGAGUCUGAACCAGCCAAGUAGCGUGAAGGAUGACUGCCCUAAGGGUUGUAAACUUCUUUUAUAAAGGAAUAAAACGAGGCACGUGUGCCUUUUUGCAUGUACUUUAUGAAUAAGGAUCGGCUAACUCCGUGCCAGCAGCCGCGGUAAUACGGAGGAUCCGAGCGUUAUCCGGAUUUAUUGGGUUUAAAGGGAGCGUAGGCGGGUUGUUAAGUCAGUUGUUGAAGUUGGCGGGUCAACCGGAAAAUUGCAAUGGAUACUGGCAGUCUUGAGUACAGGUGAGGUAGGCGGAAUGCGUGGAGUAGCGGUGAAAUGCUUAGAUAUCGCGAAGAACCCCGAUUGCGAAGGCAGCGUUCUAAACUGUCACUGACGCUGAUGCCCGAAAGUGUGGGUAUCAAACAGGAUUAGAUACCCUAGUAGUC
rnacentral:rRNA from 1 species